CAAGACAUUUAUAAAGGUGUCCCCAUUGUCCUUUACAUCUUUUGCAGCCAAUAUGAAUUUGAAUUGUUUUUUUUUUUUUUCAAUUUUAACAAUUUAUUUUUGUUUUUAUUGGUACAAUUCGUUGGGCCUUGUGAUUUUGUCUUAUGGUUUGAGUGCGAUAAAGAUACUUUCUUCUCUCCCUUCAAGCUUGGAGCCCCACCUCAAUAAAUCCUCCUUUGCUGCCAUGGCACACACUUGAGGAUACUCUUUCUUUCUUUGGUCUGGUAAAAUCUCUUUAAUGUCACCGUCACCGCCAUUAAUCGUCUACCUUUCUUGGCAGCAAAAGUUACCUUUGUCGACAACCUUCGAUCACUUGUACACCAUCCAAACCAUGUAUGAUACUGAAAAUUUCAUAGUGGUUAGUAAGAAACAAUGUAAAAAUUCUACGGUCGAGCAGAAAUGUAGUUUAAGAGAUCAUGUACGAUCAUGUUUUUCAAAAGCCUUUCUGAUACGCUACUGGUCAAAAUGGUAAACCAAAUACUAUUAAUUUUGUUACCUCAUCAAGUAGAUAUUUGAUGGUUAAAGUUUCUGUAUACUUUUCAACAUUCAUUGUCUAUCUUAGUUUAUCUUUGUGAAAAGAAUAGAUUUUCUGAUGAAUUGACACCAAGAACAGUGGAGCAGCCAGUGGGACUUUCAUUAAAUGAUGAAGGAAUCACACAAGGAAAGGUUUUUCAUCUCCUUUCUUCUUGCUCCCCACCACAUUAGUGCUUCCUCUCUCACAUUUACAAGGUUAGACUCUCUAAUUUUACAAUGGUCGAAAUUCCUAGUUUGUUUACCGCAGUCAUAGUUUUCUGAUCUACAUCUUUAGAGAGAGAGAGUGGCCAUUAGUGUAAAUGUGUUUGCAUAAAACUUUUGAUGCUUCCACAGGGAGAAUUUUGCCAUUUGCAGAGCAAUCACUAAUUGAAUUAAGAACAAGUCUAAGCUAAUGACAUCAUAGACAACCAAUUAAUUACUUGCAACUACUUUGCAUUUUCCAUUUUUUCUAUAAUUAGGAUCUAUAAAUCAUUAAGAUUUUUUGCUCUUAAGUUUCUUCAAAUACCAUCAAUCCUCUAUGUCUGAUUUACUUUUCCCAUUAUAGUGCCAGCUUCCACUUCUUCACCGUCAUUUAACAGCAUUUACUAUUGUGGAGUUCUUGAAAAAGCUAACAAAAAUGUGAAAUACUCGAAAAGAAAUCAAUAAACACGUUUUCAUAAAGCAGUAUAACUUAGUAGGGUAACUAGUUAUAGAGAGUAACUAUAAGAACUUGGUAGCUUUCAAGAAACCAGACCUUAAUAGGAUAACCUGUAGUAAGAAACCUUGAGCAUCUUCUUGACCCUAGUUUAAGCACCUUUAGUGAGGAUUCUUUUACAUUUUAUACAUAGUUUUUAAGAUGAGUUUUGAGCCAGGAAACCGAUGGAGACUGUCGAUAGCGAACUUUGAUACGAGAAAAAUGUGGAAAAUUAACAAGAAUGGUUUCAAUGUCAAAACUGUUCAAGGACCACAGAGUUAGUUUGUUUAAGGCUAAUGAGGAGAAGAAAAAACAUUCUUCUCUAUGACAUUAUCCUAAGUUGCAAGUUUAUCAAAAUGAGGGCUAUUGAUAGAUGUUGACCUUAAAAUUUACUCCAGGUUCUGAAAUUAACUGUUUUACCUUGUGUUGAGAGGUACAAUUCCAAGGUAAGGAUGGCCACUUUUUGGGUGCUCUGUUGAGUCUUUAAAAGGAAAUCAAGG
rnacentral:lncRNA from 1 species